ACGGGGUGCAGCAGGCGCGAAAACUUCGCAAUGGGGGCAACCCCGACGAGGGAAUUCCAAGUGCCAGCACUUUGUGUUGGCUGUUCUCCUGUCUAAAAAACAGGAGGAGUAAGGGGCGGGUAAGACGGGUGCCAGCCGCCGCGGUAAUACCCGCGCCCCUAGUGGUGGUCGAUAUUAUUGAGCCUAAAACGUCCGUAGCCGGUCUUCUAAAUCCUUGGGUAAAUCGGGCAGCUUAACUGUCCGAAGUCCGGGGAGACUGGGAGACUUGGGACCGGGAGAGGUCAGAGGUACUUCUGGGGUAGGGGUAAAAUCCUGUAAUCCUGGAAGGACCACCGGUGGCGAAGGCGUCUGACUAGAACGAAUCCGACGGUGAGGGACGAAGCCCUGGGGCGCAAACGGGAUUAGAUACCCCGGUAGUCCAGGGUGUAAACGCUGCGGGCUUGGUGUUGGGGGUCCUUAGUGGGCGCCCAGUGCCGGAGAGAAGUUGUUAAGCCUGCUGCUUGGGGAGUAUGUCCGCAAGGAUGAAACUUAAAGGAAUUGGCGGGGGAGCACA
rnacentral:rRNA from 1 species